GACGAACGCUGGCGGCGUGCUUAACACAUGCAAGUCGAACGGUGAAGGGACCAGCUUGCUGGUUCUGGAUGAGUGGCGAACGGGUGAGUAACACGUGAGUAACCUGCCCCCUUCUUCUGGAUAACCGCAUGAAAGUGUGGCUAAUACGGGAUAUUCUGGGUCUGUCGCAUGGCGGGCCCGGGAAAGAUAUUGCUUCGGUGGGGGAUGGGCUCGCGGCCUAUCAGCUUGUUGGUGGGGUGAUGGCCUACCAAGGCGGUGACGGGUAGCCGGCCUGAGAGGGUGGACGGUCACACUGGGACUGAGACACGGCCCAGACUCCUACGGGAGGCAGCAGUGGGGAAGAUUGCACAAUGGGCGCAAGCCUGAUGCAGCGACGCCGCGUGAGGGAUGGAGGCCUUCGGGUUGUAAACCUCUUUCGCCAGUGAAGCAGGCCUGCUCCGUGUGGGUGGGUUGACGGUAGCUGGAGAAGAAGCGCCGGCUAACUACGUG
rnacentral:rRNA from 1 species